GCCGGGCGCGGUGGCGCGCGCCUGUAGUCCCAGCUACUCGGGAGGCUGAGGCCUGAGGAUCGCUUGAGUCCAGGAGUUCUGGGCUGUCAUGCGCUAUGCCGAUCGGGUUCGGCAUCAAUAUGGUGACCUCCCGGGAGCGGGGGACCACCAGGUUGCCUAAGGAGGGGUGAACCGGCCCAGGUCGGAAAGGGGAGACUGAGGGCAUCAGUCGUUGGACUACAGCUUGUCUCCGGGACUUUCAACCUGUCCUCCCGGGGCUGCAGCCUUU
ensembl:misc_RNA Metazoa_SRP Metazoan signal recognition particle RNA